CUUUGAUGUCUAUCCGUGAGUCGUCACCAAAACGCACCUUACCAGUGAUAGAUUCAUCAAUCCGAUUGAAAUACCGUCGAUCUCCAUUCAUGUGGUUGCUGGCUCCGUUAUCAAGACGGUCGGGACAGCUUGAGGCGAAGUGUCCAGUUUUGUCACAACGGAAACAUGUGAUUUUAGAUAGAUCUCGUCCUCCUCCGAAGCGUCCACGGCCUCUUCCUCUGCUUUUAGGCGUCCAACUAUGUCUUCGAAGCUUAUAGUAUUAAGGUCUAAUACUUGUUCAAGUGAAGCAACCAUGUAAAUAAACUUCGAUCGUGGAAGACACUUUAAGAACUUUUUCACCAACUUUGGUGUCUCAAGGCUUU